GCCAUGCCGCGUGUGUGAAGAAGGUCUUCGGAUUGUAAAGCACUUUAAGUUGGGAGGAAGGGCAGUAAGUUAACACCUUGCUGUUUUGACGUUACCGACAGAAUAAGAACCGGCUAACUCUGUGCCAGCAGCCGCGGUAAUACAGAGGGUGCAAGCCUUAAUCGGAAUUACUGGGCGUAAAGCGCGCGUAGGUGGUUUGUUAAGUAGGAUGUGAAAGCCCCGGGGUCAACCUGGGAACUGCAUCCAAAACUGGCAAGCUAGAGUACGGUAGACCGUGGUGGAAUUUCCUGUGUAGCGGUGAAAUGCGUAGAUAUGGGUAGGUACACCAGUGGCGAAGGCGACCACCUGGACUGAUACUGACAAGGAGGUGCGAAAGCGUGGGGAGCAAACCAGAUUAGAUACCCUGGUAGUUUAAGAUGAUAACGAUGUCAACUAGCAAGCUCUUUCCUUGAGAGCGAAGUGGCGCAGCUAACGCA
rnacentral:rRNA from 1 species